UUCAAGACACCUGGCGCCAAUCAUGGAGGAGGGAGGAAGUGUGGUGGAUGCUUCAAUACGCAACAGCUCAAAUACAGCACUUCAGCAGCCUUGGCUAUACCUGAAGCAGCUUUUUGCAGUGAAGACGAAGAAGGGCAAUUGUGUCAUUAUGUCAUGUCAACUUUGCCUGCCUAGACCGGUUGAAAUAUCGGCAUUCAAGAGUUCUUCCUCUAAUUUAAAAAAAAAACACAUCGAGGUACCACUACUGAUUGUUGGACAGCUCGCCAACGGAGUUACAUCGGUGUAACCGCACACUGGAUCGAUGAAUCUACACUGGAAAGAAGGUCUGCUUCGAUUGCCUUUAGAUGCUUGAAAAGAUCACAUACGUUUGAUUUGCUUGCAGGGACCCUGGAUGACAUCCACUCGGAAUAUGGCAUCUCAGGAAAAAUAGUCAGAACAACUGAUAGUGGAUCAAAUUUUAUUAAAGCAUUUAAGGUGUAUGGUGAACAGAGUCAGCAAGAGUUGAUUGGUGCUGACUCUGCUGAGGCAGUGACACUGGAGAGUGAGGAAGAUGCAGAAGGAGUUGAGGUUCAGGACACCUGUUCUAUUUUAAACACUAACAGUGGGUUGGAGUUGGUCAUCUACCCAAGCAUCAGCGUUGCGCGUGUCAUCUUAAUUUGGUGGCUACUGUGGAUGCUUCCAAGGCAGAGGACAGCAGUGAGGUAUAUAAGAAGCUUACCCGUUCAACGUUUGCGAAAUGCCAGGCAUUAUACAAUAAAACCAGCCCGGUCUGCCAUCAAUGCUGAGAUCGUCCAAGAAGAAUGUAAGCUGCAGUUCAUUCAGCCCAACCACACAAGAUGGAAUUUGGUGUACAGUGCUGCAGAGAGGGUAAUGCGGAUCCUAAAGGAGCAGGGAGAAGCAUCCCUUCGGAAUGUACGUGCAGCAUUCACAAUGAAAAUGCUAAAUCCUGCUGAAGUUUCUUACCUCUCUGAAUACUGCAUUGUGAUGACGCCUGUAUCCAUGGCCUUGAACAUCCUUCAGUCUGAAACAAACACUCAGAUGGGAUGGCUGCUUCCCACCAUCUACCUUCUUGAUUCCAAGCUCAAAAAGAUGGAGGCUUCAGUCAAGGUAUGUCUUCCCCUUAUUCAUGCUCUGCAGCAGGGUCUACAAAAGCGCUCUGGGGAGUUUAUGGAAGAUCCGGAACUCAUCAGUGCUGCAAUUCUUCCAAAAUUCAAAACGUCAUGGACAGACAAGGCCCACAUCAUAAAAAGCAGGUAAGAUGUUCCUAAUAUUUUGUACAUGAAUACAGAUUAUCUGAUGAUAUGGAUAUUAUGCCAAUUUCUGUUAGAGUGAGAACAUGCAGCGUUUUGUUUUUUAAUGUCAGGAGUCAUGGGUACAUUUUGCUUAUCCCACUUGUAACUGUUCCACUACUGUGUAUGGGUUUGUGUGGAGUUAAGUGAUUGGUUCAAUAUUUAUUUACUUGCCUGCUGUAGCACAGUCAGACUGUGGAACAGUGUUCGAAAAGACACGGGUAUUGUAUGUAUGUAGCAAGGGAAUAGUUUAGUCCCAAUAGUUGGUCCAUAACACACUAGUAAACAUGCCAUAGUUUGUCUAUCAGCAUUAUCCACUAUUAUUAUUAUUAUUAUUAUUAUUAUUAUUGUUUGUGUGUAUGGUAGGUAUGGAUUACAUCAUGCAUUAUCUUGAUGCCAUUAAGGGCACCCAGCAAAACAAAUCGCAAUGUGAUGCCUCUGACGAGGAUGACUUCUUUUCUUCCAUUAAGACUGUUCCAUCCCCAACUGCAUCUGAAUUGGAUGGAUACUUGGCUUGUGCCUCAGAAGAGAUGGGACUGCUUCACUCAUUUCCUUUGGUGAAAAAGCUAAGCCUCAAACUGAACACACCCUUGCCUGCCUCUGCAGCAUGUGAGCACCUUUUUAGUUGUGCUGGGCAGCUGUUUACACCUAAACGAGCAAGGCUGGACCAUACAAAUUUUGAGAAUCAGCUCAUUGUAAAACUGAACAGCAAAUUCAAAAUAUAGGCUCGUUGUUGACCCCUACGCUAAAAUCGCUGCAAGCCUGCGUUCAUGUUCAGAGACUUGUCAGUUAAUACAUGUUAUAUUCACUUCAGUGUAAUAUUCUAAUUUGUGCUACAGGCUCAUCUUUUUAUGUUAAAUUGUUAAUGUACAAUGCUUUGCAACCUUUAUUAACCUGCAAGAAGACCUCCGCAGAAUGAUUGUCAUAAAUGUUACCUGAUUAUUGGUUGCUUUAUCAAACAUUACAUGACUGGAUUUUCAGUGCUAGCAGUCAAAAAGAAAACUGUUGGAGAAAUUAUAUAUAUAUAUAUAUAUAUAUAAAAAUAUUCUAAUAGCAAUAUAGUACAUUAAUAAUAGUAAUAAUUUCCACUAAAUGAUGGCUUGAAUAUCCAUUCAUUCUCAGUGCCUGGCAAAAGCAUAAUAACAAUAACUACAUAUAUUAUCACAGGUCCAUGUAAGAGGCUAUGCCUGAAGAGGGCUUAGCUUAAAAUGAUUCAAUUCUUAGUAUAUCUUAAGUUAGAUUCUGGAAAAGUAGUCAUAGAUUUCCAUCAAUUUUACAUUUGAAGGUCAGCACUAAACUACUGUACAUAUGCAAUAAACUUGGUAGAUGACAGUAAAAUACUGAAACAUUAUUGUUUGAUACAGAUUGCUGGAAAUCCUGGUGCCUGUAUUUUAUUAAACAUUUAGCCUACUGAUACUAUAAAUAUACCUUUACCUACAGAAUUUGACAAAGAAAAUAUACACUAUGUAUUGUGUCCCACUAGAGGACUAAAAAUAGUGUUUAUGAGAACUCAUACUGUACAGUAUGCUAUAAACUUCUAAUAUCCAUACAUUUUUUGGGAUAACAAAGUUAUGAGUUUCAGAAAGACCCUCUAUCUGCAGCUGUUCAGUGGUAUGCUUGUAUUGUGUGCUACCUGUCUUGUAUGUAGCACUAGAUACACCACUACAUGAAUAAUCAAAUAAAAAGGUAAAUUGAUUACAUCGUGAAAAGAUUGUCUUAGGAGUCCCAGGAGUUUCUCUCCCAUGUUUGGCUUAUUCUUUUAUCCAAAAUUACUUGUGUGAUAUUGAAUAGAAUUCAAGCGAAAAGGCCAUUAAGAAGCUGAUGUCUUAAAGUGAUAUGAAUUAGUCAAAAACUUUAUGAUGGUGUAUCAGAUUAAGCUAAAGUCAAAGAAAUGUUUCAUUGGCAUUUCUUGGGAAAUUGGCUCAGUGUAAGAGUAGCUGAUGUGUACAGGGCUUCAGCACUGCGAAAUGAAAAGUCUAAAAUUUCAUAAACUGGGAAAAACAUUUAUGCAAUACAGCAACGUUUCCAAAUUGUGUUUUCAACUCAACACAACUAUACCUGUAUUCAGUGUUUUUGAUUGCUUGGUCUUGAGCAGGCGUGGAAAAUACCUGAGUAAUUUUAUCAUACAGUAUUGUUUUUGUAUAUUUGUACUUUACUUGAGUAUUACUGAAAUUGAAUCUUGGUACUCUUACUUGAUUACAUUUCAAAGAAAAAAAAUGACUCCUUACAUUUUUAUUUAGACUUUCAAAUUACAAGAAGGAAGGUCUACAGAAUGUCUCUUCUUCUCUCACCCAGCCAAUUACUGUGUGUUAUAUAUCGUAUGGACUCAGUUUGGCAUAGUCAUUUCAGUUUAGCAUUAAAUCAAAUUCAACAAUGUAGAUAAAAACUAUUGAGAAUCAAGCCAAUACUUUCUCAUGCUACUUAAUGUAGUUAGCGCUAUAGCUAACCGUGUGAAUAUAGCUAAGCCUUGGCCUAGAGGAUGGCCCUAACUCAGUAAAAUGAGGUGUCUCCUUUGCCUUCCUAGAGGCCUCCCUAAUUAGAAAAAGCAUGAGAUAAGUUUCGCUAAUUUGCUAACAUAAACUGGCUGUAUUUAACUAAGUUAGCCUGUUAUCUUUGAUAAUGCUAGGUUAAACUAGCAACAAGUCUAGCAGCUAAAAAAAAUUGGCUGGGCAGCAAGCCAAAUUCUAGCUAAUGGUAAAUAUUGAUUAUUUACGUGAUAUUUUGUUUCUGAUUAAUUCACUAGCAAACUAUGUAGCAUUAGUCAUGCAUACUAUGACCAACAAACCUACAGAGGUUGAAUGAUCUUUUUGGGCAAAAUGAAAUAAAAAUCAUCUCACAGUUUUAGAUAAGUGAUAAAAGUUACUUUUCAACUGAAGACAUUCAUCACUUAUAACUGUCUAAUAACUGACUACAGCAACUUUUUUUUUUUACUUUCACUUGAGUACAUUUUUAUCUGGAUUCUUCCACAUUUAAUUGAGUAAGACUUUGAGACAUUUGAGACAUUAUCUAUACGUUCACUUAAAUAUAACUUCUCUGUACAUUUUCCAUCCCUGGUCUUAGGACUAGAGACAGAGCAAAACUAUGGACUACAGUACAAGGGGGUCCCUUGUUAAAGCAACACUGCAAUAGAUGACAGAGCUGACAAAUAAGCAGUUUACUCAUUGCCAAUACAAAAUGUCUUAAUGUUUACUGUCAAAUGGAGGCAUAUACAUGUAUUUACUUUAGGGAACGCUUCCAUCUAAAUAACUUUUUGCAUGUUGGGCUGAUGCAUCAGCAGACAUGAAUACAAUACUGACAUUUACUGACAAUGCAAUACUUUUUUUUGCUUGUUUCGUAUUUACAUAGUUGGUACUCACUUUCAACAAACAUGAUUUACCCGUACACAGAAUGUAUUCCAAGCAUAGAACUGUUAAAGAUGGCAAAAGCUAGCAAAGAACUGAGUUUCUACAUAAGAUUCACACAUGGAAGUAAACACCUACAAUCUGAAUUUUCAUUUCAAAAUGUCCGUUGUUUAUUUUAAAUGUAUCAGGAUACCCAGGUGAGUCUUAUGUCCAAUUAAUUGCAAAUUACUGCCAAUAAGCAAGUUCAAAUUAGCAAUAAAGGUGCUUUUAUGUACUGCACACAACUUUGAGCUUUUUUCUGUCUCACGUAGGGCUAUAAAUAAUGUGGAUAAUUGUUAACAUUUUUAACAUUCAGUUUAGUGCAAAGUUUGUGAAGGACAUACAUUUUACAACAUACAAAUGAGUGCGCUCAUGAAACAUUCACAGAACCAACAGAUGGUGCUAGAGAUCUUCGAUUCAUGGAAGACCUACCAUGCAUUUUACUUAAAACAAUCUUGAUACAUGAGAACUGAAAUGUUCUCAUGUAAAGGACUAAGAUGAUUAGACUUUGCAUCUAAUUUUCUUUUGAUUUGUCAAUGACUGAAAAAGAAGCAAGUGAAUUGGUACAAUAUAAGUUCAUAAAGAAAGACAUAAUAUAGAGUGCUUCACAAGUGUUAGACACUUUAAAAUAAAUCAUCUUACAUGUUUAUUUUGCGUCUCUGGAACUAGUGUAUCAGUAUUGUAGCAAUUUUUUUUACAUUUGCAAAAAUUCAUUUUCCACAUUACAUGUUACAACUGAAAUUUCUCUUAAGAAUAGAGCACUUUUCAAAUAAAGCAUCAUUACGGCUUAACUAAGAGAGCUUGGAACAUCCUAUCAAUAGAUUUCUUUGGAAAAUUGCAUGAUGGUGUAACAGUAUAAAUAGUUUUAUGAUCAUGCAGUUUAUAAGGAAAUCAGUGUAGUUUUAAAGCCAGUAAGUGGACAAGCCAAAUAUCAGUUCACUUCACUUUUUUUUUUAUUGUUUAAUGCUCUUUUCAGUGCAUUUCCUUCAUAUUUCCAAACUUUUCCUUUCAUACCGUUUAAAAGCAUGUAUGCUUCCAUAUGACUUUAUAGCGGGUGUGGUGACACACCAGGUAGUGUUGCUGCCUCACUGCUCCAGAGCCUCUGGUUUGAUCCGGAGCUUAGGUUACUGUGUAGUUCCUUCAUUGUUUGCAUAGUUCUUCUCCAGGUUCUCUGUCAUGCCAUUAGGUGGCUUGACUAUGCUAAAUAGACCCUAGGGAUGAAUGAGUAUGCAAUAUGUGUAUGUGUGUGCAUGAUUAUUUAAUUGAGUAAUACUUUGAGACAUUUGAGACAUUAUCUAUAUGUUCACUUAAAUAUAACUUCUCUGUACGUUUUCCAUCCCUGGUCUUAGGACUUGAGACAGAGCAAAACUAUGGACUAUAGUACAUGGGGGUCCCAUGGACAGAUUAAAGCAACACUGCAAUAGAUGACAGGGCUGACAAAUAAGCAGUUUACUCAUUGCCAAUACAAAUCAAAUGGAGGCAUAUACAUGUAUUUACUUUAGGGAAUGCUUCUAAAUAACUUUUUGCUUGUUGUGCUGAUGCAUCAGCAGACAUGAAUACAAUACUGACAUUUACUGACGAUGCAAUACUUUUUUUUGAUAAUUUGUUUGCUAGUACUAGCAGAGUACUUGUGUAUUAGCACACAAAAAACACAAACAAUGUUUUCAGGAAGCAGGUUCUCAGAGUGCUGGUAUUGCCCAUCAGCAAAAUGAAUAUUUAAUUGAUGACUGGUUAAGAAGAGCAAAAUGUUAGAGGGCUAUUUGUAGGAUCUACAGACUAAUUACCCAACAUAACACUUUAUGUUGAACAGCUUCAGACUCAAUUCUCUGGAACAGUACUGGAGGAAUGAAUACCAUCUUACCAAAAGAUAUUCCCACUGUGAAGGCCAUAGGAUAUGAUUCACAUCAUACUCAUUACACCAUUCAUUCACUGAACCCUGGGAACAUUACCAUCCUGAAAGAGACCACACCCAUCUCAGUAUACGUGUUUCAUCAAUAAAGGUGAUCAGUCUGAAUAACUUUGUGUUCAUUUGCAGUGAUCUUUCCUUCUAUGGGGACAAGUGGAGGCAAACCAUGUCCCCUAAAUGUCCCCUAAAGUGUAAUAGAGCCACCAUUUUUUUUUCUUUUAAUCUGUCAUUUGUUUGUCGUUGUUGAAAUAGGCUCUAAAUUCAUUCUUUGUUGAUGAGCAGACAUAGCAAAUAAAAACUAUUGCAAGAAAACAAAGUGAUCACGCUACAGUAAUUUAAUUCCAUCUAUGAUUAUAAUUUUACACUGCAGCAUCAUCCAAAGGAUUACUGUACCUGAUAGCUAUAAAUUUGCUUUGAAAAAAAUGUCUAGUGUUAAAUGUAUACCAACAAGUUCUACAAGUUUUGGAAUAAUUAUGUCUUCUUCUUCUUCUUCUUCUUCCAUAAUUAAGUAACAAGUUGUUGCUUAAAUUACUGGAUGAUUGCAGUACAUUGGAUGGCCAGAUGAGGGAGCUCAAGGACCAUAUAAAAGACAUGUUCAGCUCACAAGGGCCUUUAGAAUUACCACAAUGCUUUUCUUGGAUGAAAUGAAAGCAUACAAGCUCAUAUCCCUCAUUUUAGCAUAGUAAGGGGUUCACAUGCUGUGCAGUUAAAACCAGCCACUGUAUUACAGGUAAACAACCAUUUGUUCAGCUCCACAUCCUUAAUAGAAUUAUUUAUAGGUAAUGAAUUCGAAAUGGGUGAUUUAAUUACUACAGUGAUUUACAUGUGAUUUUGAUGCAUACAUCUCAUUUUACAUCUGAUUUUCAGGCAUAGCUGUAAAGUUUGCAUUACUCUAUUGGUUUACCCUUAAAGUUUCUGUGUACAACCCUGUGUACAGAAAAAGGUUUCCCUAAGAACCCUUUUAUGAAGCUAAGAACUCAACUGUCCUAGCAACCUUUUGAGGAACCCUUUGUAUUAAAUGAUGUAUUAAAGGCUGUGUCACUUGAUUUACUAUAGAUAUUAUGAUCAUAGAUGAAAUGUAAUAGAUGGUCUAGGUAUAAGGACUAGAAUUAGGACUAGAAUUACUAGGACUAAUCAUCUAAAUCUAAAUCAUCUGAGAUCAUUGUUAGAAAUAACUUGAAUAAUAAGUUUAUAUAUUUUGACUGUUGACCUAGCAAGGAAACCUUUCCUAGACAGCUACAAGUAUUUACGGUUAAAGAGUAAAUUCCUAUGUAAUAAAGUAGCUUUAUGUGAAAUCUCGCUUUAGACUAUGAUUAACAUAGGCUAAAAAGAUUACUUUAAGAUUCAUCACUCAUAUCAAUCUCAAUCAGUUUAAGAUUCAUUGCUCUUACUCAUAAGUCAUCAUAAUUCAUGCCUGAAUUUAAGCCCAGAGGAUAUGCGCGGUGGUGCAGGAUUGGGAUGAGAUCCCAGCACCUUCGAGACUGAAACCUGCUGCUGCCUGAAGUGUUUCACCUGAGCUUACUCAGCUUUGCCCUUCACACAGCUGUUGGAUUUUGGAAAGUUUGCUCCAGCCUUCAGGGGAGAAAUUUUGAAAGAGGGUUAUGGGAGUUUUGGGAACACCCAGAGAUUGGAAUGCAAUUCAGCAAUUUGUUUGUAAUAAGUGCCAAUAUAGUAACUUGUCAGAUCUGAUAAAUGGCACAGAGCACACCUUAAAAAGCUUCAUGCAACCUUUAAGCUGCUAAGAUGGUUAGUUUUCACAUUAUAUCAAAAUCAAUUAUACAUGUUAUACAAAAUAUACAAAUUGUUUCUUUUGGUGUAAUCUCACAUACAUUAAAUCAAAUAGUAAAAUACAAUAUAAUAAUACAACAUAGCAGAGUACAACAUUCAGUAAACAAUAUCCCAUAAAUACAAUAUAACAAUAGUACAAUACAAUGCAGAAGUGCAAUACAGAGUAUGCCAGUAGUACUAUCACUGGUGAAAAAAUGUGAAAAUAAUACAACAGGUAGUUUAUUGCAACGGACAUUAUAUGUACUAAAUGCUGAAAAUGACAAGAAUAGACAAAUAAAAUAUGUAAUGAGAUUAAAAAGAGGAUAUACAGUGAAAUAUGUGAUCAGUGAGUUUUUUGUGCAGCUACAGUCAGCCAUUGCUAUAUGUGGUGAAGGUCACGUGUGCCACUUAUCAGAGAGGAAGGAUGUUAAAUAGUCCUGGUUUAGGAGGAUUAUGGCCUAGGGAAAGAAGCUAUGCAGGUGUCAGCUGGUGUGAGACUUUAGGGCCUUUCCACUGUGAAGGGGAAACACUGGAAAAGAUGGUAGUUGUGUUGUUGUUUCUGCUGUUGUGGUGGUGGUGGUGGUGAUUUGGAAGAAGUUUAAUGGCUUACCAGUAAACCAGUAUAAGGCAGUGAUGGCACAUCCAUAUGGGCAGGUUGGGCAGAGAACAUCUUAUAGUAUAUCAGCCAUUCAACAAAUCAAUCUUCAUAAUGUCCUCAUUAGCAUACCUUUAGAAUUCCAUUGAAAUACUAAUAAUCUCUUUUAAAUCAGAAAACCUUUUUUUAAAAUGUUGAUAUUUGACAGACAUAAGCCGGUAUUAUAUUGGUUUGCUCCAUCAUGGGGCAGUGUGCUCAUUGCGCAAUUUAGCUCCAUAUUAUUUUAUUCUUUUUUAUUUUAUUUUAUUCCUAAUGGUCAAAAAUGGGAAUGGCAAUAAAUGCUAAUAGUGGCCCGUUGGGGGAGGAUCACUCUUACAACACUCUUAUCACUAUUUAAUAAUAAAUACUCAAACAAAGGCAAAGUGUAAGUGUAGACAGUGUGUCUAUGGUGUACAGAACCAUUUCUACUGUAAGAUAUAUUGCAAAGAUUGGGAGAGGAAGCGAAGUAUUAUGGAGGAGAUAAUGACCAUACAACACAAAUGUAUGCUCACUGUGGUGAAAAAGAAGUAAAAUGACUCUCUCUUUUAAUGAUUUCUAAAUUUUCUGGGCUAGUAGCAGGUCUUUUGUGUGGUUUUUGAGCUGUAGUUGGGCUGAAUAUUUGCUGAGACUACCACUCCUGUGUGCCUUGCACACUGUGACAGUAUGGUGACAGAAUCCUCACCCACUGGGUGAAGACUGUAUGUUUUCAACUCUUAACUGUGUAUUAUUUGGUUACUCUAAAAGAUUCACUGGGAUAGCCUCUUGACUUAAUUUUGUCUGAGGCUAUGCCGUUAUUAAUGUCAUCUUGCCCUACCAAAGUCUACGGUCACGAGCCGCUGCUGAUAUAAGGUUUAACGUCAGUCAGGUCUCCAUAAUUCCAUAAUUCCUCUCUCAAGCACACACCUGGGUUGCUGUUGCUUAAUGUCUCUGAUAGUAUGUGGCAAUAAUCAGAGGAGCAUUGAUAAGUUCUCUCUUGGCUGUUCAGCAAUCCACUGCUUCCAGCCAUGCACCUGUACCCCUCCUUUCUCAACCACUCCAGCUCUGUCGGCAUGUUGUUUGGCAUUUCUCAUUAAAAACCCAUACAACCUGACAGCAGCAUUUUUAAAAUUGAGGCUUUAACAAAGAAUAUGUCAACCCAAUUGUUUAGGCUUGUAGAUAACAUCUUGUCACAAAAAAACUGUUUGUUUACCAUAUUGAUGGUAAAGUCAGGUCUGUGAGUUAUAAUGAGCAGAGCUAUUUUUAUUAUGUGCAGGCUUGAAAAUGAAACUUCAGUGAAGGCAACUGUGUGUUGGACAUAAGGAGGAAAAUGUCAGCCUGACUUUGGAAUGACAGUGUGCCAAAGGCAAGUUGUGUUAUUUGGCCCACAGACAGCCAGCAUGACCCCAGAAUCAACAUUCAAAACCACUUUUCACGCACAUUGGCAUAGAAUUCGUAAUAUUUCAGCAGGCUUCAUUUUUCUUGCAUUAGUCUAUUUUUGGCAGGGCUUGGCACACUUCUCCUAGCUGCUUUGAGUCAUAAGUAAGUCUAUUCUCCUUAGUGCUGAAUUUAAUGAUGCUUGAAUGUGCACCUUCUUACAUGCAUGGCCCCUGUCACUGGAAAACUUUUUGAGAGGCAAGUUAACAGACCGUGAAAGGGCGGCACAGAUGGCAACAUCCUAGGUGGUAAUUAUCCAGCACCACCAUGGAAAGGGAAAAAAGUGAGAGAGGGAAAAAGUGAAGGUAAAAACACAAAAUGGGUGUUGCCAUCAGGUCAGCGUCUGAUGUUUCUCGCAAAUCAAAUCAAAUCAACGGGGCUCAGAGACGGGACUGAUGGUACAGGUCACAUCGCCCAAUAAGAAGGUGAUUUUUAGCUCCAGUGAUUUUGAAGUCUCUGAGGAGUUGCUGUGUAAAUAGAGAUCGCACUCAUGUUAAGUCUUGAUCUGCGAGAGUCCUCUUGUUGCUUUUUGCAAUCUGUUUUUAUUCAGUGUGUAUGUUUUACGAAUUAGCCAUCUUUGAUGAGCUUGUGAUUCACCUCAUAGCGAGGCUGUAAUUAGCCAAAGUGUCUCAGUAUGGGACAGACGCCUCUAAUAGGCGCAUUUAUGCAACAUUAGGCAAGCAGAGGCUGUUCUGAAGAGCUUAAACGUUUAUUCUGGUGCUGAUCUAUUAAAAUUGAAGGUGACAGCUCAUUUGAAUCAUGUUUGAUUUUUUUUCCUUUGGGUUGGGGAGGGGGUGUUUUAUACUCUUCCAGGUGAUAACCCCUGCUGCAUAUAAGCCUCCAUGCAAAAAUAUGUUAAUACUUCCCAUAUUAAAAUCUUUGUCUGGUUGUCAUUCUCACAUGGGGCACAUCAAAGCCAUAUGACCCGAUUUUGCACCUGCUGUUUAAUUAAAUUUACAAGACAGACACACUCUCCACUCCUGGUGAUAUACAAAUCAGUUUUUAUUACCCAGGUCCUGUGAUUUACAAGGCAAUUGACUGCUGGGUGGAGGUGGCACAUGCCAGAGUUGUCCAGCCGAAAAAAGCUGCACAAACCCACAACAGCAUGUUAGUUUCUUGACUGACAUGCUAAAACAAAACAAAACAAAACAAACAAAAUAUGGCUGCUUGUUCAAGAUGUUCAAGUUUAUACCUAAUGCACUGUGCUAUUUAAAGAGUUUUUAUUGUUUCCAAUAAAAAUUUUAUAACACCGUGCAUUAACAUUCUCCAUGUCAGAUUAUAUUAUUUAAGAAAAUUAUUACAUUCUGCUUACUUCAUCAAUCAGCGAGAUCCAGGUUUGUGCAGAAAAUAGGGAAAUAAACAUAAAUAUUUUUCAAAGUGAGCUUGAGGUAAUAAAGAUAUUUUUCAGUCCAUUAGCAUGUUUCAUCCUGUGAGUUUCAUGUAAUCCUAUAUCAUUCUAAUUUUGGUAACUUUUAGACAAGCAUCGAAGAAACAUUCUGAGAUUUUUAAUCAAAAACUUCUGACACUGCCAGAACUUUGUCAUCGGCUGUUUUUGGACACAAUAUAAUGACGGCAAAAAAGAUACAGUAACUUACUGAACUUACUGAAAGCAAGUAAGUCUUAACAAUCUUAACACUCAAAAUCUUAACAAAAUCUACUUCUUAUUAUGAGAUUAUUAUAAAUCAAAAAUACGAUAAUUCAGCCUGUUAUAGAUGCUUUUCUCAUAAAUGUUAUCUAUUGGCAGAUAAUUUUGCUUCUUUCUAGAAAUAAAAUUAGAAAAAUGAUCUACCAAUAGAACAAGACUUCAUCAAGUUUAAAAUUAGUAAGUAAAAUGUCUAGAAAUAAGUUUAUUAAUCAGAUAUUUGGUUUAUUGUAUUCUCAUAAUAGGAAAUACUAGAUACAUUUGACUAUAUUCAAGAUAUUUUCACUUGCUAAGACGCCAUUGUUUGCAAUGAUUAAAUCCAGUGCGCAUGUAUAACAAGCACUUGAAUCAUACAAAAGCACUAUACAAACAUAUCUCUCUAUGUUGGAUUUAAAGCAUAAUGAAGAAGUAGUGUCCUCAACAAUGUCGAGUAAAAAGUGUUCAUGAAGAAAAAAGUGCCAAUACUGAAUAAACAUAUGUUAUAAAGCAAAAUAUGUUAAGUAUGUUAUGAAAUGUUUUCUUGUUAGCUACAGUAACAGGUCCAGUAGCUUCUGCCAUAGCUCUGAAUCACAGUAUGCCUCCCAGCAUAAAAAGAAUAACCGUAAAAUAAAAUGCCUAAUUUACUAAUUUAUUAUGUAUCUGAAACCAUAUGGCAGUUCAACUAAAAGAGACUGAACCACUCUUAUUUCUGUUUAAUCCUACAUAAACCUACUCAAGCUAAAUAUCAGAUGCCAGCGUCUUGCUGUUGAGCAUUGAUUUGCAGUUGCAUGCGUUUCAGAAGCAUGGCCCCGCUCGCAGUGGAGCGAGCUUCUCAGGCGAUCCAUAAUAGAUGAUGAAAUUUGGCAAGCGGUCGAGCCUUAUGGCCCAUUCUUCCUCCUGCAGCUGCUUGUUUUCCCACAACUCAUCUGUGCUGACCAAGUUGUGUGUGUGUCUGUGUGUGUUCAUGCCUGCGUCCGUAUGUCACUGGCUUUGCCCACGAGCACUACACCAGCAACUUUCCAUAUUUCAAUAUGUCAGACGUGAUGGAAGAUUCAACUUGCAGAGGGUUCCUCCUUUAUAGUUCUAGCAGGGGUGAGAGAGUUGUUAUGUGAGGUGACUCAGUUUGCUCCAGGUGUUUGUUCCACAUAGGUGAAGUGAGUCAUUACUGCCAGAACACAUCCCAAACUGCAUGUAGUUCUCAACUGCUCUAUUUUGCAGGGUUCUAUGUUCUGUGGUACUUUCUUUGUGUCUGUUGUGCCUAAUAAUAAUCAUAUUUGCAAUAUUUAUAUAGACCUUUUCAUACAUACAGUAUAUUUAAAGUGCAGUACAUGCAUAAAGGCAAGUGAAACAUGACAAAUAGAAAGAACAAGUAAACUCAUAACGUAUAAAAUGGCUUAACAUGAACAAAAAGCAUUGAGUAUUAUAGCAUAUUGGAAUGAUUAUUGGCCAGUAGGAGCCAGUUAGGAAAUUUUUUAGCCAUGUACACUGAAUGUGGGACUUGUUCACUCAGUUAAAACUUGCCAGUGUGUAUAUGUGUGUGUGGUUUUUUGUCUGUUAUGUGAGACUUUGUUAAAUAACUCAAUAAGGAGUAUAGGGAAGUAUAGCUGAAGUACUUGUCCAUGGAGAAACCCUAAAAAUACCAUAAUUUGCCCAAUUCAGCCUGUAGCAUUUUACCAUGUUUAAUGUUUCAUAAUGAAGCUGACUCUGUAAUGUUUGUUUUAAGCUAACUAUUAGGUUGGCUCUGUACAUUAAGAAGGCUGUGAGUUGCUGAUGAGCAGAUGUUUUCUCUACACAGCAAGGGGGACAGAAAGAGGAGGGGAAAGUAGUCUUCCACAUCCCCUUCAGGUGGACCAGGUGUCUGCAGCACCGCACUGUGUCAUCCCAAAACUUGGCGCUGCACUAUGAAACAGGUCCACCUCAUUGUUCCACCCCCCUAGGGGUGGGCACAAAUUAACGCACAUCCGGCAUGCUAUGCAAGAGAAGGGGGAAAAAAUAAAUAAACGCCCAGAAAAGCGUCGCCCGGAGUGUGGACGUGGGGCAGGAGAGAGAGAUUCUGCUGAAUAGAAAUGAGAGUGGGAGUCAGAGAAAGCCAGAGAGGCACACAGGAGAGCUCCAUUUGUUAAGGUGCAGGUGCAGAGUUUGAGUGAAUGCCAGGUUGCGCUCCACGUUUUUGGUUCCAUAUUAACACUGUCAGCUUUUUUUUUGUUCACAAUUCUCUCUCUCUCUAUCACAAUACAGCCCCUAUUUCAUCAUUUGUUAAAACUUGUUCAAAGCUUGUUCCAUUGUCUUGAAGCUUCAGUUAAACUGUGAUUUAACCCUCUCCACUUCUGAUGAGGAC